GCCCAGUGAUGAGACCAAGGCGAAUACGAGCUUACUAAAGGAGAGUUGGGUUCUUCUUUGCCUUUACUGGCAGGUAAUCUUGGCAGUGCAGAGGAACAUUCCUGCUCUGCUGUAAGGGCCUGCCUACAGUGACUUGGCUCAACCCAAAUUAUUCCUCUACAGUCACAGAGGAGUAAUCACAAGGAUGAACCGACAGAGUUUGUGUGUGUGUGUGUGGUUGGUUGUGUGCAUGUGUAAGAGGCAAGGAGUUCACCCAGCUCUCUUUAGUGUUCGGUCAGCUGUGAGUUGCUUCUUUGGUAAUCUGAGGGCA